rnacentral:rRNA from 1 species
AACGAACGCUGGCGGCAUGCCUAACACAUGCAAGUCGAACGAGACCUUCGGGUCUAGUGGCGCACGGGUGCGUAACGCGUGGGAACCUGCCCUUAGGUUCGGAAUAACUCCCCGAAAGGGGUGCUAAUACCGGAUAAUGUCUUCGGACCAAAGAUUUAUCGCCUUUGGAUGGGCCCGCGUUGGAUUAGCUAGUUGGUAGGGUAAAAGCCUACCAAGGCGACGAUCCAUAGCUGGUCUGAGAGGAUGAUCAGCCACACUGGGACUGAGACACGGCCCAGACUCCUACGGGAGGCAGCAGUGGGGAAUAUUGGACAAGGGGGGAAGCCUGAUCCAGCAAUGCCGCGUGAGUGAUGAAGGCCUUAGGGUUGUAAAGCUCUUUUACCCGGGAUGAUAAUGACAGUACCGGGAGAAUAAGCUCCGGCUAACUCCGUG